UUUGGCAAAGAGAUUUUCCGGCAGGAAGUCACCGAUUGUUCUCGGCGAUCGAGAAGGGUGUCAAUGGGUCCCGUCCGUUUGUCAAAUCC
rnacentral:tRNA from 1 species